UACAUAUAUAAAUACAUAUAUAUAUACACAUAUAUAUAUAUACACAUAUAUAUACACAUAAUAUAUAUAUAUACACAUAUAUAUAUACACAUACAAGUAUCCAGUGUGUUAUGACGAGCAGGGAUUAAAUUGGGAGGUGGGAGGAAGGGGUGUGACCAACAACCAACAGAGUCCCACCACCUCCAGGGUACAGUGAGACACUGUAUACAGUGACAGUUCAAUAGAUUCAUAUGAAAAAUUUACCAAUUUUGGGGGACAGAGAGACAGGACAGUUUCAUCACCUUACAAAAUCCAUAUUUAACCCCUGGUUUUAAGUGGAGCGGCUGCCACUUUAAAAGCUUGUUUCCUCAAACAAACAUUUCUCUAAUGGGUUAAUGUUUAAAAAGCUAGGCUAGUCCUUUAAAAGGAAAAGAGGACAAGGGGUAAAAGACUCAGCACCCCCCCCCCCACGUUGUUUUUAAGGUACAAAAAAAUAAGCGAUAUUUCUUAUCAACCAGACGUUGUACAACAGCUUGUUAUUAACAUUUUGAUUUGGGAGUCUGAAAAACACUCCAAAGGUUUUUAUUUUUAGAUUUUUUGUUUUGUUUAUUUGUUUAAUUUGAGACCAACACCUAAAGGAAAAAGGUUAAAGUAUCCUUUCUGAAACACCACAGUUUCAAACACUUAACAAGCAGUUUGUUUUCUCUAUACACGGCUGCAUGUCACAUACGUACAUGCAGGACACCCUAUAGGGGAACUGGAUUCUAUCAGAGCCAUAUAUACAUUAAUACUGUAUUAUAUAUAUAUAUGUCUCUGGGUUCUUCCCCCUAUGCAACAAUGGUUCUUUACCCAGGAAAGACAUUUGUAGCAAACAUAGCCAGCUAAAUAUUUUGGUAGCAAGAAAACAUAUUUUUUUUCUGUCAUUUUGAUGGCUCAAAUGAGUUAUACCAAUAACUGUCAAUCACUUUGUAUUGUAUUGUUUUUUUUGUAUUGGUUCCAACCAACCACUGUUGGAAAGAAAACAUUUGUUUUGAUGAAGCUUGAAAUAAUUGCUAUUCAUAAUUCUAAUAAGGCUUUGGGGUAUUUGAGCAGCAACUUCUAACAUAUACAAUCUCUGCCUUGUUUGUCAAAACAGCCUAGUCUAAAAAGAAGCAUACAGAAGAGCAGGCUCUCCUAGUUAUCUCCAUAAACAAUGAUAGAAUCAUAGAAUACAGCAUAAAUGCACUGGAGAACAUUAGUUAAACACCCCAGUGUUCUACUUUCACAUUGCUGGUCAGUCACAUUUAAAAUCCUUUUUCUUUAGCAUACAAGUUGGUUGUCUUUCAAAUGCUGUCACAAUUCUCUAUUGAUGAGGUGAAUUAGCUGCUUAUGUCAUGCAUUAUUCCCUCUAUUUUCUUCUGACGUUGAAGAUAUAUAUAAUAUAUAUAUAUAUAUAUAUAUAUAUAUAUAUAAUAUCACCAGAGUACAGUGUAGCUCGCUAUCGAUAGAGAAAAUAGCAAGGGAACUUAACCAAUUAAGUCAAGCUGCUGGUUAUCAUGUUGUAGGAACACGGUUGUGUCAGUUCACUUUCAAAUGUCAAAAUCUCAACUGUCAGAAGUUGGACUAUAGACAAUAAAUGCAGUUAUAAAGAGUGGAAGUGAUGGGAAUGCCUAAGGCUGAAGGCAUCACGUCAUAUUCAAGGGAACCAUAUUAGGUCAAAAGUCAAGUCAAUAUUCUAAAAGUUGGAUAUAUACUAUAGAUAAAUAAGGUGCAACUAUUCCUCAAGGAAUUAUUCUACUUGAUUAACACAAUGCUAAAAAAAAAACUACUGUAAAGUAAUCAUUCGGGUCAAAUCACAGAAAUGUCCUACUGUGUUUUACAGCAAGUAUGGAUGGGUGGAGAGUGACAAGUUGAGAAGGCAGAUCUAGGAUCAGGUCCACAAUGUCCAUAUAAUCUUCUUCAUUAUGAUCUAAAAGGCAAAACUGACCCUAGAUCAGCACUCCUACUCAGAGACACAAGAAUACAGGCACAGGUCAAGAAGAGUCAUCUCUCAUAUACUGUGUCUCUCACAUCAUGAAACCGACGGCAGUGAGCUGCUCACAGUAUAUUUUCCUCCACAGUAUAUCUUCCUCCACAGUAUAUUGUCCUCCACUGUCCGUGUCCCCAUAACGGGCUCGAACCAGUGACCAUCCUCGUUGACAAAGUACCGACCGAUUGAGCUAUACAAAAGGAUCCAAUUGGAUGGCUCCAUCGACGACAUUUCAAGCUAGCUGUGGAGUGACCUUACGGCACGUUCUUAACUCUGUUACAACGACAACACUAGAUGAUGGGAGUAUUAGGAUAAGGAAAUGAGGAUCUGGAUGGUAGCAGUGAGGUUGAAGGUGGGUCAGGGAUUAAAUGGGGGUCAGUGAGCUGAAUGUGUUACCCCAUACAGUAGGAGGUUAAAGGGGGUGAGUUAAAUGUGUUACCCCAUACAGUAGGAGGUUAAAUGGGGGUUGAGGUGGAGGGGGGUCAGGGAGCAGUAGCAGGUUAAAGGGGGAUCAGGGAGCAGUAGGAGGUUAAAGGGGGAUCAGGGAGCAGGAGGUUAAAGGGGGAUCAGGGAGCAGUAGGAGGUUAAAGGGGGAUCAGGGAGCAGUAGGAGGUUAAAGGGGGAUCAGGGAGCAGUAGGAGGUUAAAGGGGGAUCAGGGAGCAGUAGGAGGUUAAAGGGGGGAUCAGGGAGCAGUAGGAGGUUAAAGGGGGAUCAGGGAGCAGUAGGAGGUUAAAGGGGGAUCAGGGAGCAGUAGGAGGUUAAAGGGGGAUCAGGGAGCAGUAGAAGGUUAAAGGGGGAUCAGGGAGCAGGAGGUUAAAGGGGGAUCAGGGAGCAGUAGUAUGUUAAAGGGGGAUCAGGGAGCAGUAGGAGGUUAAAGGGGGAUCAGGGAGCAGUAGGAGGUUAAAAGUGGGGACAUAGAGUAGGUUAUAUAUCUUUAAAGAACCCCUCGUUUGGAACUUCCAUGAGGUCAAAGGUGCUUUGAUACAUACAGUGCCUUCAGAAAGUAUUCACACCUCUUGACUAUUUCCCACAUCUUGUUGUGUUACAGCCUGAAUUUAAAAUGGAUUAAAUGUAGAUUUUUGUUUGUCAAUUGCCGACACACAAUACCGCAUAAUGUCAAAAUGGAAUUACAGUACUAGUCAAAAGUUUGGACACACCUACUCAUUCAAGGGUUUUUCUUUAUUUUUACUAUUUUCUACAUUGUAGAAUAAUAGUGAAGACAUCAAAACUAUGGAAAUUACACAUAUGGAAUCAUGUAACCAAAAAAGUGUUAAACAAUUCAAAAUAUAUUUUAUAUUUGAGAUUCUUCAAAGUAGCCACCAUUUGCCUUGAAGACAGCUUUGCACACUCUUGGCAUUCUCUCAACUAGCUUCAUGAGGUAGUCACCUGGAAUGCAAUUCAAUUAACAGGUGUGCCUUGUUAAAAGUGAAUUUGUGGAAUUUCAUUCCUUAAUGCGUUUGAACCAAUCAGUUGUGUUGUGACAAGGUAGGGGUGGUAUACAGAAGAUAUCCCAUUUUGGUAAAAGGCCAAGUCCAUAUUAUGGCAAGAACACCUCAAAUAAGCAAAGAGAAAUGAGAGUCCAUCUUUACUUUAAGACAUGAAGGUCAGUCAUUUCAGAAAAUUUCAAGAACUUUGAAAGUUUCUUCAAGUGCAGUCGCAAAAACCAUCAAGCGCUAUGAUGAAACUGGCUCUCAUGAGGACCGCCACAGGAAUGGACCCAGAGUUACCCAGAGUUACCUCUGCUGCAGAAGAUAAGUUCAUUUGAGUUACCAGCCUCAGAAAUUGCAGCCCAAAUAUAUGCGCUUAGUGGGACUAUCAUUUGUUUUUCAACAGGACAAUGACCCAAAACACACCUCCAAGAUGUGUAAUGGCUAUUUGACCAAGAAGGAGAGUGAUGGAGUGCUGCAUCAGAUGACGUGGCCUCCACAAUCACCCGACCUCAACUCAAUUGAGAUGGUUUGAGAUGAGUUGGACCACAGAGUGAAGUAAAAGCAGCCAACGAGUGCUCAGUAUGUGUGGGAACUCCUUCAAGACUGUUGGAAAAGCAUUCCAGGUGAAGCUGGUUGAGAGAAUGCCAAGAGUGUGCAAAGCUGUCAUCAAUGCAAAGGGUGGCUUUGAAGAAUCUAAAAUAUAUUUUGAUUUGAUUAACAGUUUUCUGGUUACUACAUGAUUCCAUAUGUGUUAUUUCCAUAGUUUUGAUGUCUUCACUGUUAUUCUACAAUGUAGAAAAUAGUAAAAUAAAGAAAAACCCUUGAAUGAGUAUGUGUGUUCAAACUUUUGUCUGGUACUGUAUGUUUUUAGAAAUUAUUUGAAAUUAAUAAAAAAUGUAAAGCUGAAAUGUCUUGAGUCAACAACUAUUCAACCCAUUUGUUAUGGCAAGCAUAAAUAGGUUCAUGUUACAUAAAACGUUGCAUGGACUCACUCUGUGUGCAAUAAUAGUGAUUCAUAGUAAUAAACAUGAUUUUUGAAUGACUACCUCAUCUAUGUACCCCACACAUACAAUUAUCUGUAAGGUCCCUCAGUUGAGCAGUGAAUUUCAAACACAGAUUCAACCAAUGCCUCGCAUAAAAGGGCACCCAUUAGUAGAUGGGUAAAAAAAAGCAGACAUUGAAUAUCCCUUUGAGCAUGGUGAAGUUAUUAAUUACACUAAUUACACCCAGUCACUACAAAGAUAGAAGCGUCCUUCCUAACUCAGUUGCCAGAGAGGAAGGAAAUCGCUCAGGGAUUUCACCAUGAGGCCAAUGGUGACUUUAAAACAGUUACAGUGUUUAAUGGCUGUGAUAGGAGAAAACUGAGGAUGGAUCAACAACAUUGUAGUUACUCCACAAUAUUAACAUAAUUACAGAGGGCAAAGAAGGAAGCCUGUACAGAAUAAAAAUUAUCCAAAACAUGCAUCCUGUUUGCAAUAAGGCACUAAAGUAAAAAAGCAAAAAAUGUGGCAAAACAAUUACCUUUUUUGUCCUAAAUACAAAGUGUUAUGUUUGAGGCAAAUCCAAUACAACACAUUACUGAGUACCACUCUCCAUAUUUUCAAGCAUAGUGGUGGCUGCAUCAUGCUCUGGGUAUGCUUGUAAUCGUUAAGGACUGGGGAGUUUUUCAGGAUAAAAAAUAAAUGGAAUGGUGCUAAGCACAGGCAAAACCUUGUUCAGUCUGCAUUCCACCAGAUACUGGGAGAUUAAUUCACCUUUCAGCAGGACAAUAACCUAAAACAAAAGGCCCCAUCUAGACUGGAGUUUCUUACCGAGAAGUCUGUGAAUGUUCCCGAGUGGCCGAGUUACAGUUUCGACUUAAAUCUACCUAAAACUUUAUGGAAAGACCUGAAAAGGGUUGUUUAGCAAUGACCAACAACCAAUUUGACAGAGCUUGAAUGAUUUUGAAAAUAAUAAUGGGCAGAUGUUGUACAAUCCAGGUGUGCAAAGCUCUUAGAGACUUACCCAGAAAGACUGACAGCUGUACUCGCUGCCAAAGGUGCUUGCAUCUACAACAAAUUGACUCAGGGGUGUAAAUACUUACGGAAAUGAGAUAUUUCUGUAUUUAAUUUUCAAUAAAUGUGCAACAAAAAAAAAUCUAAAAACAUGUUUUCACUUUCUCAUUAUUGGGUAUUGUGUGUAGAUGGAUGAGAAAAAAUAUAUAAUUAAUACAUUUUGAAUUCAGGAUGUAACACAACCAAAUGUGGAAUAAAUCAAAGGGUAUAAAUACUUUCUGAAGGCACUGUAUAGGCUUAAAAAUGUAAUUCUCCAAUUUCAAACAUGUUUUGGGGAAAUGUCACCCACUCUUUCUUUAAACAAAAUAAAUAUCUUAGUUCACUAGACGUGAACUAGGACUUAAGCUGUGGAAACUGACGAUUUGACCUGAAUGUAUACUUUACAGUACCAUUCACUAUUGGUUACCAAUAUAUUAACAUCUAUUCUAUGGGACCAGUGACUAAUUUUAAAGUUCAGCCAUUUACAUUUUUUGGGAUGUAACACAAACGGUGAUGUAUAUAAACCCUGGAUUGCUGAUGCUAUGUAUAUUUUUUCAAUGUUUAUUUUUAUGUUUAGCUCACAUAAUAUAAUAACAAAAAUAUGCAUUAACAUGUCUGUAAUAUACUGAACAAAAACAUAAAUGCAACAUGUAAAGUGUUGGUCCCAUGUUUCAUGAACUGAUAUAAAUGAUAUGUUCCAAAUGCACAAAAGCUUCUUUUUCUCAGAUUUUUUUUUACAUCCGUUAGUGAGCAUUUCUCCUUUGCCAAGAUAAACCAUCCACUUGACAGGUGUGGCAUAUCAAGAAGCUGAUUAAACAGCAUGAUCAUUACACAGGUGCACCUUGUACUGGGGACAAUAAAAGGCCACUCUAAAAUGUGCAGUGUUGUCACACAACACAAUGCCACAGGUGUCUCAAGUUUUGAGGGAGCCUGCAAUUGGCAUGCUGACUGCAGGAAUGUCCACCAGAGCUGUUGCCAGAGAAUGUUAUGUUCAUUUCUCUACCAUAAGACGCCUACAAGGUUAUUUUAUAGAAUUUGGCAGUACGUCCAACCAGUCUCACAACCGCAGACCACGUGUAACCACGCCAGCCCAGGACCUCCACAUCCGGCUUCUUUACCUGCGGGAGCAUCUGAGACCAGCCAACUGGACAGCUAAUGAAGCUGAGGAGUAUUUCUGUCUGUAAUAAAGACCUUUUGUUGUGAAAAACUAAUUCUGAUUGGCUGGGCCUGGCUCGCAAGUGGGGCCUAAUUUAUUUAUUUAAAAUGACUGAUUUCCUUAUAUGAAGUGUAACUCAGUACAAUCGUUGAAAUUGUUGCAUGUUGCAUUUAUAUUUUUGUUCAGUAUAGAAUAAACGUGGCAAAAACAAAUGUAGACUUUAUAAAUGCAUUUCUAUAGCUUCCAAAAUAUUUUUUUUCAACGGUGGGGGAGUUCCAAGAUGGAGGUACGGCGGCUUCAAAACAGCGCUCCCUGUCAGUCAUCUAGUGUAUAUAUAAAUCAUUGAACACAACCUAUUGUUUCCAAUAUGUUACACUUAAAAGCUAACAAUGCUCCAAAAGGUGACAAUUCCUUUGACUUUGUUUUUUAUGUUUACAUCUUUUUUUUUUUGCAGCCUAUUUUUGAUACCCAACCCAACAUCAAUAUCCAUACAACCUAAUGUUAUGGUCUCUAGCACAGUGACUACAAUGUUAGGCCACAGUUCUCUUCUCUUCCAUCUCUUCCUAUAGGUCAUUUUUGGUCUCAAGUAUUUCUUUGUCUUCCUCAUUCUGAUUUUUACUACUCUGUGAUAGGUCAGAGGCAUAUCCUCUCUCCACCUCCAUGCCGUUGCUGGAUAGGUCCAUCCCUCUAUCGGUCAUUGUCACGUCAUCCAACGAGCCAAUAAGCAGCUGAGCUGAGGUGUCUAUUGCUGGAGUGGUGCUAGUGUCUGUUGUUCUGCUGUUGGUAACAGUCCUGCAUGGGGAUGAGAGGGUGAAAGGUCAGUGUCCAUCACCAUAGGAACAUACUGGGGGAAAACAUGCCGAAGGAAGAGGCUGAGAGGGAGGGAAAGAAGUAGGAAUGGAGAGAGAGAUGGGACAGGGAAAGGAGAAGAGAGGGAUGCAAGAUCCCAGUAAACACAAUUACGUUG
rnacentral:lncRNA from 1 species